GACGGUUGUCCCGGUUUAAGCGUGUAGGCUGGUUUUCCAGGCAAAUCCGGAAAAUCAAGGCUGAGGCGUGAUGACGAGGCACUACGGUGCUGAAGCAACAAAUGCCCUGCUUCCAGGAAAAGCCUCUAAGCAUCAGGUAACAUCAAAUCGUACCCCAAACCGACACAGGUGGUCAGGUAGAGAAUACCAAGGCGCUUGAGAGAACUCGGGUGAAGGAACUAGGCAAAAUGGUGCCGUAACUUCGGGAGAA
rnacentral:rRNA from 1 species